rnacentral:rRNA from 1 species
ACGAUGAGCCCAGCUUGCUGGGUGGAUUAGUGGCGAACGGGUGAGUAACACGUGAGUAACCUGCCCUUAACUCUGGGAUAAGCCUGGGAAACUGGGUCUAAUACCGGAUAGGAGCGUCCACCGCAUGGUGGGUGUUGGAAAGAUUUAUCGGUUUUGGAUGGACUCGCGGCCUAUCAGCUUGUUGGUGAGGUAAUGGCUCACCAAGGCGACGACGGGUAGCCGGCCUGAGAGGGUGACCGGCCACACUGGGACUGAGACACGGCCCAGACUCCUACGGGAGGCAGCAGUGGGGAAUAUUGCACAAUGGGCGCAAGCCUGAUGCAGCGACGCCGCGUGAGGGAUGACGGCCUUCGGGUUGUAAACCUCUUUCAGUAGGGAAGAAGCGAAAGUGACGGUACCUGCAGAAGAAGCACCGGCUAACUACGUGCCAGCAGCCGCGGUAAUACGUAGGGUGCGAGCGUUAUCCGGAAUUAUUGGGCGUAAAGAGCUCGUAGGCGGUUUGUCGCGUCUGUCGUGAAAGUCCGGGGCUUAACCCCGGAUCUGCGGUGGGUACGGGCAGACUAGAGUGCAGUAGGGGAGACUGGAAUUCCUGGUGUAGCGGUGGAAUGCGCAGAUAUCAGGAGGAACACCGAUGGCGAAGGCAGGUCUCUGGGCUGUAACUGACGCUGAGGAGCGAAAGCAUGGGGAGCGAACAGGAUUAGAUACCCUGGUAGUCCAUGCCGUAAACGUUGGGCACUAGGUGUGGGGACCAUUCCACGGUUUCCGCGCCGCAGCUAACGCAUUAAGUGCCCCGCCUGGGGAGUACGGCCGCAAGGCUAAAACUCAAAGGAAUUGACGGGGGCCCGCACAAGCGGCGGAGCAUGCGGAUUAAUUCGAUGCAACGCGAAGAACCUUACCAAGGCUUGACAUGUUCUCGAUCGCCGUAGAGAUACGGUUUCCCCUUUGGGGCGGGUUCACAGGUGGUGCAUGGUUGUCGUCAGCUCGUGUCGUGAGAUGUUGGGUUAAGUCCCGCAACGAGCGCAACCCUCGUUCCAUGUUGCCAGCACGUCGUGGUGGGGACUCAUGGGAGACUGCCGGGGUCAACUCGGAGGAAGGUGAGGACGACGUCAAAUCAUCAUGCCCCUUAUGUCUUGGGCUUCACGCAUGCUACAAUGGCCGGUACAAUGGGUUGCGAUACUGUGAGGUGGAGCUAAUCCCAAAAAGCCGGUCUCAGUUCGGAUUGGGGUCUGCAACUCGACCCCAUGAAGUCGGAGUCGCUAGUAAUCGCAGAUCAGC